UUGUCUUGCGGAAAACUAGAAAGGCAUCAGAUUAUUGCGGACACAUAUUCGUUAGCGAGGAAAAAUCAUAUAACUAAAGCCGGGAACGUGUUCUGGCCUUGUUUAUUCUCUUUGCGAUUCGCUGGACACUGAUAGCUCAUCUCCGCAAAUAUGAAAUCUAUAGUGGCUUUCCUUACUUGCCUUUGCGUCCUUACAAGCAUUUUGGCGAAUGAAGUGGAAAUACCCUCAGUGAUAUCUGAGAGAGCAGAACUUGUGGAGCCUUCGGGAAGAUCACGUCGUCUUGGAAAAGAAGGUCCAAUGAAACAAAAACAAAUAACCGGAAAAAAAGCGAGCCCAUUGAUCCUGGAUUGACCAUCAACGCCACAAAACAGAAUUAGGUGAACGACCCCUGAUUCCUCCAAG
rnacentral:lncRNA from 1 species